rnacentral:lncRNA from 1 species
AGGCAACCACCUUUCAUAAAUCGCUCGAAUGGUAGGUGUCGUUCUGUUCGUAAAUUAAUUUCUUUUGCUCUUCAGAUUUGUUGAGAUUCAUCGUCUAUGAAGCUGGUCUAGUAAGCAAAAGUACAUUUUGUUUCAUGUUUUUUCAGACAUAACAUUUUUGAAACAACUUUUGUUUUUUUUGGAGAAGAUGAUUGAUUGCUAUUUAUUCUGACACCUCCUGUAUGAUAAUGGCGAAAGCUAUUCGUUUAGCAGAUAAUGCAACACUCUGAGCC